rnacentral:rRNA from 1 species
AUUGAACGCUGGCGGCAUGCUUUACACAUGCCAGUCGAACGGUAACAGGCCUUCGGGUGCUGACGAGUGGCGAACGGGUGCGUAAUGCAUCGGAACGUGCCCAGAGGUGGGGGAUAACGCAGCGAAAGCUGUGCUAAUACCGCAUGUGAUCUGAGGAUGAAAGCGGGGGACCAGGCAGCAAUGUUUGGCCUCGCGCCUUUGGAGCGGCCGAUGUCAGAUUAGGUAGUUGGUGGGGUAAAGGCCUACCAAGCCGACGAUCUGUAGCUGGUCUGAGAGGACGACCAGCCACACUGGGACUGAGACACGGCCCAGACUCCUACGGGAGGCAGCAGUGGGGAAUUUUGGACAAUGGGCGCAAGCCUGAUCCAGCAAUGCCGCGUGCGGGAAGAAGGCCUUCGGGUUGUAAACCGCUUUUGUACGGAACGAAAAGGCUCUGGCUAAUACCUGGGGCUGAUGACGGUACCGUAAGAAUAAGCACCGGCUAACUACGUG